GGCCUCUCCCCAGCCCAUUCUCUUCUGCAGCCUGCGUUCCAGUUCCAAGGCCCCAGCCCGGAGUCUCCUGAUCAGGAGACAGAGGCCUGAGGGACAGGGUUCUCCACGCUGCCCCCACCCCAUGGAGGGGCUCAGCAGGGGUUCCCGUCCAUCCCCCACCUGGGCUCAUCCACCUGACUCAGCGCCAGGGCUGCUGGGGCGGGGAGGUGUAGCCCUCUUGCUGCUCUCUCAUCACAGCAAAGGAUCAAAGCCUUGACCCUGACUUCUUCUGACUUUAUCUCAACCCAGCGACUCAGCGCAGCCCUGGAUGGUUAUCGGUGACUCCCUGCCUUCAUCAGCCUCCCCACAAGCAUCAGUGUGACCUUGGUCUGUCCAGUGUUUCACACCAGCCCUCGGCUCAUGUUUGCACUUCUCCCUCGGAGGCCUGGCACAGCUUGCAGCCUCCCUGCCUCCCUCUGCUCCCCCAGGGAACCCCCACCCCCAGGGACCUGGGCUGCAGGAACCCAGCCCCUGGCCUCCCCUGCAGCUCUAGCUCUCCCAUGUCUUUCAGCCCAGCUCCGGGUAUGACCCCUUCCCAGGAACCACCAGGGUCCCCGCAUUGGCAUCUCCGCAUCUCCAGAGCCCUUGCUCCUCCCGCACGGCGCUGCCAGUGGGACAGGGUCUUCCUUGCAACCUGCACCUAGCACAGCUGCUGGCACACCGGAGGUGCUCAGCAGCCGUCUGGGAAAAGGAGGGGAAGGGUGGGGAGGGGAGGGGAGGGGAGAAGGGAGAGACAAGAAGGGAAAGAAGGUGGAGAAAAAUGAGACUCCUGGGCUUGUCAUUCAAGGAUCUUUGAACCCGAUUCUUCCCAGGCUCCUUUCUUGUCACCCUCCAGCCCAGCUGCACGCCUUGCAGCGCCCGGGGCCCAGUGCACUCCUGUGCAUCUCAGACGCUCAGAUCCUGUGCAUCUCUGGCUCCUGCCUGCAACCCGGAAGCCCCUCGCCCUCCUGCUCCCCCUCUAUGUAGUGCACUUCCGUUCACCUCUGCUCACUGACUUCCCCAUUCCAAAUAGUUCCGUCCCCUCCCUUGCCCUCCACAGGCUCCUCCCCAGCUUCAGUCCCCACCACAGCCCCUGGCCCCACCCGUCCUGUCACCCAGCCUUCUGUCUUGCUGCAGUUUGAUUCCACCACAUGCAUACAAGUUCCUUGAAGGGAGGAUUGGCAUCUGUUCUCUUCACUGCUGUCUCCCCAGCUCCCAGAACAGCCUUGCAAUGAGGAGUUCAAUGGGCCCCAAGGAAGUCAGUUCCCGGCCUGUGUCACCCUGCACCUGGUUUCCCAGUUGUAUCAGCACUGGAUGACAAGGGUGCCUCAGCCCAGGUUCCUUCCAUAAAGAACUUAAGGGCACAGAAGGUAAGAUGCCAGCGUCGUACAUCAGAGUGUCUGGGUCUGACGCCUGUGCCCAUCGGGGUGUCUGGGUCCGACGCCUGGCUCCAGCUCCAGCUCCAGCUCCAGCUGCCUGCUGACGCACACCCUGGGAGGCAGCACGGGUAGCUCAAGUACUUGGGAGACCUGGAUUGUGUUCCCAGCUCCCAGCUUUGGGCUGGCUGGGCUGAUGUGGGCAUUUGGGGGCAUGAACCGGUGAAUGGGAGCUCUCUGUCUCGCAAAUAAUUAAUUAAAAAAAAACUUGAGGCAAAAAAUUAAGGGGCACAAUUCUAGGCAAGCAGGAGGAUGGAGAUAGAGAAAUGAGGCAGGGAAGAGGGUACAAAUGUGAAAGUACUUUAACAAGUUCGAGAGGAAAUGGGCAUUAAGAACAAAGUUUAUUUUGUUGCAAACAGGUUGAAAUCCACACCCAGGUUUUCUUUUCUUUCUUAAAGAUUUAUUUAUUUAUUUGAGAAGUAGAGUUACAGACAGAGAGGUCUUCCAUCUACUGGCUCACUCCCCAAAUGGCCUCAAUUGCCGGAGCUGAGCCUAUCCGAAGCCAGGAGCCAGGAGCUUCCUCUGGGUCUCCCACAUGGGUGCAGGGGCUCAAACACUUGGGCCACCUUGUACUGCUAUCUCAGGCCAUAGCAGAGAGCUGGAUUGGAAGAGGAGCAGCCAGAACUAAAACCGGCGCCCAUAUGGGAUACUGGCACUGCAGGUGGAGUAUUAACCUCUGUACCACAGGUUUUCAUGAGAAGGGUUUUCCCUAAGUGCUUUGUAAAUGUCCUCUGGACUUGGCAGGGGCCUGGUUUGUGCCCAGCCCCCAGACUCACGGGGUGAAACCCUCAGCCUCAAUGCCAUGGCAGUCAGAGACAGGGCCCUCGCAGGAUUGGCGCCCUUAUAAGAAGGAACACCACAGGUGCACAAGCUCCAGCCCCGUCCCGUCCCCCCGUUGUGUGACUUGGCCUCCCCGGGCAGCUGCUGGGAGUGCCAGAGCCUUGGCAGGAGGGCUGGAGCAGCACUCAGCCCUGCCGGCUGGCCCUGACACAGGGACUCCUCAGUCUGUGACCACCACACCACCAGCAGGCAGCUUUGAGGGCAGGGGUCACUGAGGCCACUCGGGCCAGGAGGCCAGGCAGGGGGCUGAGCCUAACGGCUCUGGGUGGAUGGAGAACAAGGCCUGUCCUCCUUCCCAGUGUGUGCUCCGGGGUGCAGGGGUCUCUGUUCACUCCCUUCCUGUCCCUGGUGCUCAAACAGGGCCCACCCCAGGUGGGAGCCUUGAGUGUCAAGGGACUGGGUAGACACCUGUCCCUUUGGGUGCUGCGGCACUGUGUUUCUGUGUAGUUCAGGCUUUCAGAAUGAAUGUUCCUAAGACCUGGGACCCACUGAAGAGCACACUGGUCACUUCCAAACGCCUGCAACAACCAGGGCUGGGCCAAGCCAAAGCCCAGAGCCAGGAGCUCCUUCCAGGCCUCCCACGUGAGAAGCAGAGGCCCCGGCGGCACUUGGGCCAUCUUCCGCUGCUUUCCCAGGUGCACUAGCAGGGAGCUGGCCCUAAAGCGAGCAGCGGGGACUCAAACCAGUGCUUUGAUGUGGAAUGCAGGCAUCCCAGGCAGCGGCUUAGCCCACCGUGUCACGACCAGCCCCCUUAUUUGUUUUUGAAGUGAAAAAUGAGCAUCCUUCUGAUCUGGAUUGCCUUAUGUGCGCACGCAGUAUAAAGCUGAUAAAGAUGGAUUUUAGAACUCCCACAGGUGCCCAGCGUCUGAACAGCCUGCCUGCGCUGUGGGAAUCCCCAACAGGGGAAACAGAAGGGAGGCUUUGGAGGAAAUGGACGGCCCUCCUGCCCUGCCCAGCCACUCACAGGUGGGCACAUGGGCUGAGCAGAGCCGGUGAGCGCCUCCUCGGGGGCGUCAUCCGAGAUGCGCGGUCACUGGAGAGUGCUGAGGACAGGGGUCAGGCCUCCUACUGCCAGGCAGCCGGUGUCCGUGGGGCGAUGCAGAGAAGGGUCUGCUUCCCAGGCAGGACUGUGGCUGGGCCUGGCCCCUUUCACUCUCUGUCCAAAUCCUGCUGCAGAGCCGGCUCAAGCCCAGGAACUUCCUGAUGUCCUUCUGACAGAUUCUUUCUCCCCUUGGGUUCGUGAGAACCGGUUUCUGAGCCAGACCUGCCCAGCUGAAGUUAAUUCCUCUGUGGAAUGGCUGUGACGAAAAGCUCAAAGCAGCUCAAACCAGUUGACAGCAGGUCCCCUCUCCAGGGGAGACAAACAGCAGCCCCAGGCUAGGGCAGGUCCCGCCUCUGGAGCGCCCAGGUGUGGCGGGUGCUGGUGGGUGACCUUCUUUCAGGGUCAGGCGCAAGCUGUGUGUCUGCCUGCUGGAGAUCAGAUUCCCACCCUCACAGAUCGCCAACGGGGCCUUCCCCACUCCCUCCUCCUCUCUGCACCCACCCUGAGGGUCCCCCUCCUCACCCAGCACCUUCACACCUCUGCCUCUGCUCAGGGGGGCUCCCUGGGAGCCAUCCCCCCUCUUUGCCUAAUGGGACCGCAGGUGGGAAAGGCGUGAGCCACCUCCACCUCCAGAGCUGACUUCCCUCCUCCCACCCCCGCUCCUGCCCCGUGUUCUGUUUCAUUGCUUUUUGUGCUGAUUGUGCACACCAUCGCUUCUGUGUCCUGAGAGAUUGUUUCAAAGGUUUAUUUACUUAUGUACUUGAAAGGCAGAGUGACAGACAAAGAGGGAGAGACAGAGACAUUCUAGCUGCUGGUUCACUCCCCCAGAUGGCACUGGGCCAGGCGGAAGCCAGGAGCUUCAUCUGGGUCUCCCAUGCAGGUGCAGGGGCCCAAGCACUUUCCCAGGCACAUUAGCAGGGAGCUGGAUCGGAAGUGGAACAGCUGGGACUCCAGCCAGUGCCCUGACAUGGAAUGCUGGAGUCAUAGGCCACGACUUGAACCUAUCCACCGAGCCACUACGCUGACCCCUCAAUAGUUUUAUUGAGCUACAAGUUCGCUGCACUUUUGGCAGCUACACAGUAAGCACUUACUGGGCUCCUACUGAUGGCCAAUAAGGAUUGGAUGAUUGAAUACGUGAAUGAACUCAGCUAAGUCUUCUCAACUGAUAGAUGAGGAAGCUAGGGACCAGAGAAAGAAGUCAUUCACUUGUUCCAACCGUAGAACAAGUAGGUGGUAGAGCAGGGAUUUGAACUCAAGUCUGCCUGCAUCCAGAGUCCCGGACAUCUUCAUUUUCCAUUUGCCUUCACUAUGAGCAUCAUCAUCAGUGUGGUCACCAACAUUGUCCCCACGGCUACACCACCACACCAUCAUCAUAACCACCAGGAUCAGCGGCAACACUGCCAACAAGCAGCACCACCAGCCUCAACAUCACCACCACCUCGACGGCGGGUUAGCUCUCCCCACCCCCACCUCACCACCACACUGCACCAUCACUACCGCCUCCUCUCCUUCCCCAGCGCCAUCACAACCACAGCCAUCACCGCUGCCAUCAUCACCGUCAGCACCAGCACGGUCAUCACCACCAUCGUCGCCACUGCCAACCUCCCCAGCCUCGCCGCCAGCUUCACCACCACCACCUGCUCACUGCUCCCAACACUUGCAUUACUGCCACCGCUCCUGUCACCACCACCACUGUCCCCACAGCCAUCGUCGUUGCUGCCGGACCUCAAGUUUUAUUCGAAGAAUUUAGAAUGCAAAUAGAAUGCUCUUCACUUUUAGACUCCUGUUCAGUUGUUAAAGAAAUCAGAUUUCCCGGUAGUAAGCCCCCCAGACCUGUCCCUGUAACCUUGAUGGAGGCCAUAUAUCACUGUACUUUGGAAAAAGUGAGUUUAAAGAUAUGUUUAUUUCAGCAGUAAAAAAAAUUGAAAUCUA